rnacentral:rRNA from 1 species
UACGUUCCCGGGCCUUGUACACACCGCCCGUCACACCACGAAAGUCGGCAACACCCGAAGCCGGUGGCCUAACCCGCAAGGGGAGGAGCCGUCGAAGGUGGGGUCGGUGAUUGGGGUG